AAUGCUUCUUGGCCUUUUGGCUAAGAUCAAGUGUAGUAAAUAAUUUUAAUGUAAUAAAUUUAACUUUUGCAAAAAUAAAUUUUAUUUUAAGCAUAUUGUUGAGGGCGCCUGGGUGGCUCAGUGGGUUAGGCUGCUGCCUUCAGCUCAGGUCAUGAUCUCAGGGUCCUGGGAUCGAGUCCCGC